rnacentral:lncRNA from 1 species
UUUCUAACUCCAUUUUUUUUUUUUGCUAACAUUCAUUCAAAUAAUAUUGUUUUUUAGUGCCUUCCAGAAAAAAAGAUGUCAAUCUCAAAUUAGAAACCUGGCCACUAAAUGGUAAAAGAUGGGGAUAUGGAGAAAGAAGAAGCUAGAGAAAGUCUGCUGUUGCCACAGGUUGAAGGUCCAGGAUUCAAGGAAUUCAUUGUGGGCAUUAAGAGCUGACAGCGAGGGUCCAGGAGGAGGCAGCAGAAAGCAGAUCCUCUCAUUGAUAUCUCUAGCCCUUCAGCUGCUUAAUAUUCUGAAGAAGUGGAAAGGGGAACAGAAAUCUUAA